CACCGUCUGCGUGCACGCACAUCAACGUCCCCGUGACCCGUGCCUCUCUUCACCUCUGGCGUCGGCUGUGUGCGCACUGAAGAGGAGCAGGAAGGAAGAGAACGACUGAAAGGCACAGAGACCGAGCUUUCAACGACUGAGGAACACUCCGGUGGCUUUCAUCAUCGCCGCUCAUCCCCCACCCAUCUUGCAUCUGCAAUGGUGGCUGCACUAGCUGCCUUGGGAUCACGCACCUCUACGAUCGUACCGCACACACGCACGCGCGCACUCACGGGCACCUGUGCCCACGAUGAGCGCCACUCCGUCGAAUGUUCUGCUGGGCCUCUUCGACGGCUACAUGUCCCACAAACGCGAUCGACUCACCUCUGAAACCAAAUUAGGUGGCACACCGACGUAUUUUCCGCCAUUAAGUGACGCGGACAAGGCGCAGAUACGUCGCUGGACGAGCUGCGGUGUCUGUGGCCAUGCUAUGAGCCUCCUUACCCAGGCGUACAGCCCGCUGCCCACAGCAUCGGCGAGCCGUCCGCACCACCGCAUGAUGUACGUGUUUGCCUGUAACUCUGGCUACUGCUCUCGGCAGCCGACGAGCAGCAUGGUGGCCUUUAGCGUGCAGGUGGAUCAGGAGGAUGAACAGGCGCUCGCCGAGAACUCCGAGGAAGAGGAAAAAGACGAGGUGAUUGAGACCGGUCCACUGCUGCCGUCGGAGCUGCCCGAGGCCGUACUGCCGCCAUGCUACGUCUACAUCGAUGCGGAGCCGUCAAAGGAGGUUGUGGUGCCGACGGAUAUCGAGCGUGAGCUUAUCAAGAUGGCGGAGGAGAACGCGCGGAGCACCGUCACAGAUGAAGAGCUGCAGCAGCUGGAGCAGACGGUAGACCUGAAGAACAAGAAAACGGACUACUACUACGAGAAGUUCCGCUCACGGGUUGCUCGAGCGCCGAAUCAAGUACUGCGCUACUACGAGCGCACCGUGGCAGCAGCAGCAGCCACAUCUGCGUCGUUGCGCGCGAAGGACGUCAAACCGAUCUUCAUGAACCCGGACAAGGUGAAAGCCAUGGUCACCAUCCCUGCAUGCGCCUGCUGCGGCUCUGCGCAGACAGCGGAGCUGCAGGUGAUGCCGACAUCCCUGUACUACCUGCACGUCAGCGAGUACACUGCACUCGCGCGUGCAGACGCAGCCGCCAUGGCGGCUCCUGCAGGGGCGCCGGCAGCAGCCAGCACACAAGGCAAUGCAGUCGACAAGCAGCCACCUGUCGCAUCGCACAGCGCAUCUACGACGGCGUGCAAGGCAUCUGCGUCGUCCGGGGCCGCCACUGGCACUGAAAAGGCGAUUCCUGCUAAUGUUGAUGACGGCUGCGACUUUGGAACCAUCACGGUGUACGUGUGCGCGAAGGACUGCGCGGCGCGGCAGCAUGGCGUGGUAUUGCGUCGCGAGACCCUGUGCGUGGAGGAAGCCCCCACCAUGCGAGACGAGGAGCGUGCAGGGAAGGCAGACGCUGCCAAGGCCGUUACCGACGGUGUCACACACAAGUUAACGCUAAGAGAGCUCCUGCACGGAAACGGGGAGGGCGACGAGGACAUGGAGGAUGAUGAUGAGGGCCACAUCGAUGAUGAGGCGGUGUCGACGGCGUAAGGCAUCGGGUGUGCAUGGGAAGACGAAGAGAAGGGCGUGCCAAGAGAGACCUGAGGUGUGGUGGAUGCUGCACCCCUGCCCUACUCGUCCCCCUCGUCCCUUUCCUUGCUGUAUACGAAUCACUGCACCACGCACGUUUCCGUCUGUCUGUGCGCACUCGCCUGCCCCCCUCUUCAGGCAGAAAAUUUCCGCACCAUUUCGUUUAAACACAAUACACACAUCACGGCUUUCUACGCCACCACCCGCGACUCCUGGAAAGGUAUGGCUCCAGUUGACCUCCGUCCCCCUGCAUCAGACACGGGCGAGACACGUCGCCGUCUUCUCCGAGUGCUCGAAGACCAGCUCCCCCCCCCAACACGCAUGCACACUGACAAGGGUGCCUAUCAACUCCCACGGGCUCCCUUUGCUAGUCUUCCUACCCGCUACUGCGGCAGCGCGUGACGGAGGCCAAAGCCAAAGGUCCGCCACCGCC
rnacentral:misc_RNA from 1 species